rnacentral:rRNA from 1 species
AUUGAACGCUGGCGGCAGGCCUAACACAUGCAAGUCGAGCGAGUGGCGGACGGGUGAGUAAUGUCUGGGAAACCGCCUGAUGGAGGGGGAUAACUACUGGAAACGGUAGCUAAUACCGCAUACCAUCGGAUGUGCCCAUAUGGGAUUAGCUAGUAGGUGGGGUAAAGGCUCACCUAGGCGACGAUCCCUAGCUGGUAUGAGAGGAUGACCGGCCACUCUGGAACUGAGACACGGUCCAGACUCCUACGGGAGGCAGCAGUGGGGAAUAUUGCACAAUGGGCGCAAGCCUGAUGCAGCGAUGCCGCGUGUAUGAAGAAGGCCUUCGGGUUGUAAAGCACUGUCAGCGGGGGGGCGUUACCCGCAGAAGAAGCACCGGCUAACUCCGUGCCAGCAGCCGCGGUAAUAC